UACGUAGGGGGCGAGCGUUGUCCGGAAUGACUGGGCGUAAAGGGCGUGUAGGCGGCCGAUUAAGUAUGGAGUGAAAUUCCAGCUUUCAAGGUUGGACUUGCUUUGUAGACUGGUUGGCUUGAGUGCGGAAGAGGUAAGUGGAAUUCCCAGUGUAGCGGUGAAAUGCGUAGAGAUUGGGAGGAACACCAGUGGCGAAGGCGACUUACUGGGCCGUAACUGACGCUGAGGCGCGAAAGCGUGGGGAGCGAACAGG
rnacentral:rRNA from 1 species